rnacentral:rRNA from 1 species
UGGGGAAUAUUGGACAAUGGGCGCAAGCCUGAUCCAGCCAUGCCGCGUGUGUGAAGAAGGCCUUCGGGUUGUAAAGCACUUUUGUACGGGAAGAAAAGCACUCGGUUAAUACCCGGGUGUCAUGACGGUACCGUAAGAAUAAGCACCGGCUAACUUCGUGCCAGCAGCCGCGGUAAUACGAAGGGUGCAAGCGUUACUCGGAAUUACUGGGCGUAAAGCGUGCGUAGGUGGUUUGUUAAGUCUGAUGUGAAAGCCCUGGGCUCAACCUGGGAAUUGCAUUGGAUACUGGCAGUCUAGAGUGCGGUAGAGGGUAGCGGAAUUCCCGGUGUAGCAGUGAAAUGCGUAGAUAUCGGGAGGAACAUCCGUGGCGAAGGCGGCUACCUGGACCAGCACUGACACUGAGGCACGAAAGCGUGGGGAGCAAACA